rnacentral:rRNA from 1 species
UGGGGAAUCUUGCGCAAUGGGCGAAAGCCUGACGCAGCGACACCGCGUGAGGGACGAAGGCCUUCGGGUUGUAAACCUCUUUCGGCAGGGACGAAGCGAAUCGUGACGGUACCUGCAGAAGAAGCUCCGGCUAACUACGUGCCAGCAGCCGCGGUAAGACGUAGGGAGCGAGCGUUGUCCGGAUUCAUUGGGCGUAAAGAGCGCGCAGGCGGCUUGGUAAGUCGGAUGUGAAAACCCGGAGCUCAACUCCGGGCGUGCAUCCGAUACUGCCCGGCUAGAGGUAGGUGGGGAGAUCGGAAUUCCUGGUGUAGCGGUGGAAUGCGCAGAUAUCAGGAGGAACACCGGUGGCGAAGGCGGAUCUCUGGGCCUUACCUGACGCUCAGGCGCGAAAGCUAGGGGAGCGAACAGGAUUAGAUACCCUGGUAGUCCUAGCUGUAAACGUUGGGUGCUAGGUGUGGGUGGACAUCGACCCCAUCCGUG